CAAGAAUUGAGCGCCGCUUCACAUACGAACUCGUUCGUACAUCAUUACUUCGUCACUCUGUCCGUCGACUCACAGCAAAAGGGUUAUGAUUUUAAAAUAGAUGAGGAGUUAUUGUCAUGGAAAAGUUAACCCUUUUUGUGAUAUCGCUCAUCUUCAUUCACACGGUACUUUUGAGGGACCAAUACAGUACAGUAGCUGUUUCAGGCUGUCAAACUAAAUGUUCUAUAUCAUUCUCCUUCACUUGGUGCAAGGACAUCACGGCAGUGGAACUUAUGAAUUGCAGCUCAUUGUUUUCCAGGCGCCUGUAAGACACUUUUGAUCACCUCCCAUUAGCUGCAGAAUAGCUGGUUUUCUUACAAACGUUCUUAAAGCGCCUUUUCUUGAUGGAAGACAAA